GGAGAUUAAUACCGCAUAAUAUUACAGCUUCGCAUGAAGCAGUAAUUAAAGGAGUAAUCCGCUUUGAGAUGGACCCGCGGCGCAUUAGCUAGUUGGAGAGGUAACGGCUCACCAAGGCGACGAUGCGUAGCCGACCUGAGAGGGUGAUCGGCCACAUUGGAACUGAGACACGGUCCAGACUCCUACGGGAGGCAGCAGUGGGGAAUAUUGCACAAUGGGCGAAAGCCUGAUGCAGCAACGCCGCGUGAGUGAUGACGGUCUUCGGAUUGUAAAGCUCUGUCUUUUGGGACGAUAAUGACGGUACCAAAGGAGGAAGCCACGGCUAACUACGUGCCAGCAGCCGCGGUAAUACGUAGGUGGCAAGCGUUGUCCGGAUUUACUGGGCGUAAAGGAUGUGUAGGCGGAUACUUAAGUGAGAUGUAAGCCCCGGGCUUAACCUGGGGACUGCAUUUCAAACUGGGUAUCUAGAGUGCAGGAGAGGAAAGCGGAAUUCCUAGUGUAGCGGUGAAAUGCGUAGAGAUUAGGAAGAACAUCAGUGGCGAAGGCGGCUUUCUGGACUGU
rnacentral:rRNA from 1 species